AAAGCAAACAUAUUAAUUUGGGUUUAAUACACUCUCAUCAGCUUGAGCAUAGUGUAAAGAAAUACACACAUUGACAUUUGUCCUCCCUCACCAGCUUCUCCAGAGUGAAGUAUCUUGCCAUGAUGCAGUUGGUGCCUGUACCCAACUUCACAUUAACUGCAGGUUAACAGUCAUUGUGCCCCUAGUAAGGGAGUACUGCAGCACAGCAAUCCUUAGCCAAAGGUAAAUCGUUUGAGAGCUACAGCCUUUCUUCCUUGGAAAAAAAGAACAGGGAUAUUGAGAGGUUCUGGCAGACCUUCUGGACAUUAGCCUACGAUCAGAGAAUGGAAGCUGUUCUCAUUGUCAUGGAAACACUGUAAGCACACAAAAACCAAGAUCACCUCUGGUGUUCUUCCAUUCCUUGAUUCCUACCUUCAGUCUCCUUGCAGUGAGUUAUUUCUAACUCAGUUGGCUGAAGAGCAUCUCGGGGAGUUCUGUAAUGUCUUUCCUAAAGACACCUAAUGUCUGCCUAGUCCUUGCCUGGCCUGUUCCUGUGGGGCAUCACCAUAGGCAAUAUCUCUGAUACUUCUAGAGAAACUGCAGAAGUGGGCAGGCUGCUGUGUUACGCUGUCAUGGUGAUACCUGUACCUCCGUCUCCUUUUUGUUAGGGCUCAGAUUUCAGCAUAUGAGAACUGAGAUCAGAUUAAAGCCAAAUGGCUGAAACAGCUUGACCAAGAGAAGAAGCAAUGAGCAAGUGCACGCAUCAGUGCUGUGCAGUGAUUUGGGGCCGCACUCCAACAGCAUUACAGAAUGAAGUGACCACAUUGCAACAGAGAAAGUUAUAUAUAAAAUUAAAGUCAAUGUAUUAAAAAAAUAGGUUUAUAAUCUGAUGUUCAUACUAUGGUAAGACUCACUAGAGUAUAAUAAAGCUUGAUCAUAUGCAAUGUAGUAUAGAGGAUUAAAUUUCAUAAUUGCUAAUAAUAUGUAAUCCUUCUGUCUCCGGGGUAUAUAGAAGGUUGAAAGGCAGCCAAACCACUGCGUUUGCAUUGUGUCAGUCUCCUUGGCAGUUCUCUGUGGAAGCAUGCUGAUGGGUUGGGAGGGAAGAUAGGAAGAGCCUGUGGGUAGGUAUGGCAUUGCUGCCAGGUUCAUAAAUCACACAGGCCCACAGAAAAGUGGGUGCGCAGUAGCACAGGUUGUAUAUGCUCCUACAACACGCCGGCAUGACAUUUUUCCAGCUCAGAGGAUUCAGUUAUUCACUGCUCUCUCCCUCUUUUCAUUUCGUUUUUGAGCUCAUUUUGCAGGAGUCUAUUUGACUCUUAAUGUUUCUACGUAAUUUUCAUGAAUGCUGAAACUAUAUAAAAGCAAUAAAAGGAGAAUAAACCCCUAAGCUUGGACUGUGUUUUCACUGCUCUAAAUUCCUGCUUUACCAUUCAUAAGCUUUCGCUAUAUGAGAUCUGUGCUGCUGCUCUGAGGUAGAAUGUGUAGGCUUGGAUUUUAUUUUUCUAAGAAGCUGGGUAAUAGGCAUAGAAGUGAUACAUGCAGCAGCAUAUCAGAGUGGUUCUGUACUAUUAGUGUAUUUGAAAGUAAAGCUAAAAGAGGAAAUCUUUUACUCUUCUUCACAUUUCUUUAAUCAUUUUCUAUCAUGCUGUGAAAUAAAACAUACUGUCAUAUAAUCUUCUUUUUAAACCACAUUGCUCAGCCCAGCUCUUAUUUAUUUAUUGAAGCAGGAGGCCACGUCUGAGCAUAUGUACUUCACAGCCAGGGCAAGUGGGGAUCAAACUCAUUUGAUGUUCAGUUUACAGCCCCUUUGCAUUUCAUCCUGCUCAGCUCUGUCUUCUCUCGUACUUUGCCAUAGAGUGAUAGAAAUUCUGGAUGCUUCAGAUGCAAGGACAAAUGAUGCAAAAUUGGAUACACCCAGUUCCUUUCAUUCUGCAUUGGCAUUGUUCUUCUUGAGACCUGAGAUGCUUUACUUUCUUGUAGGCUUCUGCUGUAAACAGAUGGGGGUAUACAAAGCAGGAUAGAAGUAGGGUGUUGACAAUGUUAAAGGAUCAAGAACGGCUUUUAAGUAUCCCAUCAUGUUCAUCUCAUACUAGUACACUCUGGUGUGGUGACUGGGGCAAACUGAUUCCUGCUAACCACUGAUGCCAACAGCUUGGGAGAGGUUCCUGUAGGAUCAAGAGGAAGCAGAGAGAUCAGAACUGCGGGUCGUGCUCAGCUUGUCUCAGAUCUGCCUCAGUUCUUCAUGUCAUAUCACUGGGUUAGGAGAAGAGAAUUAAUGCCAAUAAAAGUGCCUUUUGCAGAUGCAUAGAGCACAGCCAGGGAAAAUUCAUAGAAUCACAGUGUUUGAGUUGAAAGAGACUCAAUAUAGGUCAUCUGGUCCAGCUUCCCUGCAAUGAACCUACAGAUGAUCAGGGUGUUCAGACCCCCUCCAGCCUGACCUUGGGUGUCUCCUGACACACGACCUUGAAUGUCCACUGCCACACAACUUUCCUCAUUCAUUUUUUCAUGUGGAUUUUGCUUUUAGUCAUUGAUUACACUUGGGCUGUGCCCAAGGUUGGGUUUUUUACAUCCCUGAGAGAUUAUAAAUUCCUUUUUUCCUAAGUGAAAGUCAGAACCCAAUGCUGUGAAACACUGAAGAUUUAUUGAAGGGCAGCAAAGUGUUACAUUCAUUUUGUCUUAGGGAGCACAAGGUAAGAAUUGUGAGAUUUGGAAAUAAAAAGUUUCUCCUAAGUACAGUGAGUAUGUUGACUGUGAGUCUAAGUUUUAGUGUCUGGAAGGCUGUCUUUCUCACUUUGGCCCGAUAUUAAAAAUCCUGCCAUCAAUCUUUUCAGUAGGGGUGCUCCAGCUUGUCUCAGAUUACUGCUUGUAGAAUUGGAAACUCAGUUGUCCUUUGUAAUUUUAUAGAUAAUUAGAAGCAAGCCAAAUUUAGGGCUUCGAAUAUCCCAGAAAAAAAAAAAAAAAUAGAAUGAGUGGGGUUUUUGUUUUUGUUUUUCCCCUUCUGCAUUAAGAUAAUUCAAAGUUUCUUCUGCAGUCGUCGGACUUACCAUUUUCUUCCCCAGUGAAAUCUGAUGUGGAAACCUUUGUGGCCUUGAGAGAAAGACAGACUUUGGUGAGAUUCGUGAUGAAAUCACAGGAGUGAGAAACAAUAGAAACCAGAUCUGCUUGCCUCCAUUAUGUGCCAUCUCUGAAAUUAAAAAACAGAAGCAACAACAAAAAACCCUCUCUUUUUUAUUUUAUUUUUAGCCAUAAACAUAAGCAGCUGCAAGAUUGAAUGUAUUUGUAAGGUAGGACUGCUGAAUAAGAAAAUGGUAUUUUUACACAGUCAGCUUUCAGUCCAGCAUUCAUUUUAACUGUGCCCAUCCUUUUCAGUUCUGCAAUGCAGUGUAAUCCCUAUUUUACUGGAAUAGUGCAUGUCUAAGUGAGACACUGGCUUCACUGCAGUAUUUUGCCACUGACAUCAAGGAAAGAAGGAUCUCAUGCUUGUUAACAAUAGGAAAUUUCUGAAAGAAACUUUAAGUGGUGUUAGAUCAUUGCAGGUGGGUAAUUUAUAAAUGUGUGGAAACUAUUUUAGGCACUAUCCUGGUCCUAAUGUAUGUAGGCUUGUAAAAUUAUUAAACUAUGUUAAAUUGAUACUCAGUGUCAGAAAUUAAAGCAAAAUUAAAGCCAAGCUAGGCAUAUCUUAGCCUUUGGGAACAAGGAGCUUUGGACACAGGUGUAAAUCUGUCCAAAAGCUGAAGUGUUCGGUGGGAACUAAGCACAGUUUCAACAGGGAAUAUAAGUUUUACAGCCCCAGAUUUCCAGCACCAUGCUGCUUCUGACAAACUGAGGUGGCUUUUCAGAGAGGGCUCCACUGCCCUGGACAAGUCCAUAGGUCCAUAGGUCCACAAGCAAAGCCA